rnacentral:snoRNA from 1 species
CUUCGAUGAAGAGGUGAUGACGAGUCUGACGGAGGUGUUGUCCAAAAGGCGUCACUGUGCUGCGUUCUGUGGCACAGCUGAAAGCACUAUGGUCAAAGGAACUUCCUAAAGAUGACCUAGAGGCAUUUGUCUGAGAAGG